UACGAAGGGGGCUAGCGUUGUUCGGAUUUAUUGGGCGUAAAGGGCACGUAGGCGGUCUUUUAAGUCAGGGGUGAAAUCCCAGAGCUCAACUCUGGACCCGCCUUUGAUACUGGAAGUCUUGAGUAUGGAAGAGGUUGGUGGAACUGCGAGUGUAGAGGUGAAAUUCGUAGAUAUUCGCAAGAACACCAGUGGCGAAGGCGGCCAACUGGUCCAUUACUGACGCUGAGGUGCGAAAGCGUGGGGAGCAAACAGG
rnacentral:rRNA from 1 species